rnacentral:misc_RNA from 1 species
GUGAAGAACGCAGCGAAAUGCGAUAAGUAAUGUGAAUUGCAGAAUUCAGUGAAUCAUCGAAUCUUUGAACGCACAUUGCGCCCGCCAGUAUUCUGGCGGGCAUGCCUGUUCGAGCGUCAUUUCAACCCUCAAGCACAGCUUGGUGUUGGGACUCGCGUUAAUUCGCGUUCCCCAAAUUGAUUGGCGGUCACGUCGAGCUUCCAUAGCGUAGUAGUAAAACCCUCGUUACUGGUAAUCGUCGCGGCCACGCCGUUAAACCCCAACUUCUGAAUGUUGACCUCGGAUCAGGUAGGAAUACCCGCUGAACUUAAGCAUAUCAAUAAGCGGAGGA